rnacentral:lncRNA from 1 species
ACACUCUCAUGGGCUUCACCUUGGUCCCCAGGUGGUGGUGCUGUUCGGGAAGGACAUGGACCUUUGGGGUUGACAUAGAGCAUCACUGUAGGGCCUGGUCUCUCGUCUAGCCCCAGAGACUCUGCGUCUUCAUCCACCAAGACGCCAUGAAUGCUGUCGUGCCUUCUCUACCAUGACCAGACCACUCCCUUACGUUGGAGGCCCAAAGAAGUCCUUCCUUCCUGAAGUUGCUUCUGGUCACAAGAACAGGCAGAGUGAGAACCAAAUGUGUUGUAGACAUUUCCAGAAUGGAAAAAAAAAUUUUACUGAGCACAUAUACAUCCCAGCACUCGAGAAACAUCUCUCAAGAGUCAAGUCUUACAGCAAUGCUGGGUUUAAUUCUGGGAUAUUCAGCUUCCUGAGAUCUGGGGCUCAGAAUUCAGGAUGAGUAAGGACAUGAACAGAUAACAGACUUUAGGAUGAGUAAGGACAUGAACAGGUUGGCAGGGCUCAACCUCUGACCCCACAAGAGCUCUUUUUUAUUUAUCUUUUAUUAUUAUCCCUAGUGACUAUCAGAAUUACCUGGGCACUUUAAUCACCAUCACCAUUAUCACCAUUAUCACCAUCACCACCAUCUAAAGAUAGAGAAGUCCAGGCCACACCCCAGACCUAAUACAUGAGAUCUAGAGCACGCCCAGAAGAUCGUUAAGAUUGAAAAGUUCCCAGGCAGUUCCAACUGAGUGCCAAGGCAUGAGUACCUGUCCCAUCCAGGAGCAGAGCUGCAUAAGAGGGACAUCAUGUGUGGAAGGUUCUUCAGUAAAAGGUAGAAGGCAUCUGGUCGAGGGUGGGUUGCCAGGUCUUCCAGGCAGACCCUCAGGAAGCGUGCAAACACCCUGUCAGGCCCAUCAUAGCAAAGGGAUGCUUUGAUGGCCUCCUCCCUCUGACUCUCUCACUGCCAGGUUCCAACCCAGUGCAGUAACCAUUUGCCAAGAGCCUACUUUACCCGGGAUCUGCUGCUUCUGGGCAUGGGGGUGGCUUGGGAGACCUAGUUUUGCCACCAUGCCCCCUGCAUAGGCUUCUGCACCCAUUCUCCCCGCCCCCAGCAAAGCUCUUCCUUGUCCAACACCCUGUGCCUGUCCCCUCUAAACCAAGAGGUGUCGCUUCUUUUGGACCUCACCCUUGCCCUGUUCCACUUCAUGCCUUCCUCAUCGUUUAUCCUCUGUUUUCUGUGGCUGAAAAUGGGCUUGAAUCACCAGUGAUCUCAAACAUGGUCCAGUCAUGCUGCAAGGGAGAAAAAAUAAGUGGUACCACGUUUAAACAGUUGUUUAGGCAUGUCAGCAAGGAAAGACACACUCUGCACACUUUAGGCAGGUUGACAUGGUCCCCAAGCCAACUGUGGUCUACUGUAUCUCUGUAAUGGAUGCCACCCUGUCACCACUGUCUCCCUUUCUUCUCUCACAGGCUUCCUUUAAGUACCACCUCUUCCAGAAAGCCUUCCCAAAUGGAUAGCCCAGGAUUCAAGCUUUUUUCUCUCAUAUAAAUAUGUGCCAGAGAAGACCGACUUCUGUUUGGAUAUCAAGUUGGUUGCUGGGAGCUGGUGACAGUGUUUUUGUUGCUGAUGCUGAGGAAUCGAGACCAAGGCCCUGGCGCACUCAGCCAUUGCUGGAGUUCAUUAGCCACAGAGAGACACUAAGUGGCUGUAAGGAUCAGGGCAGCUUGGCAGCCAUGUGACGGGCAGCCUUAUAAGUCCCAGGUACCAGUGUCGUUUAUACGACGUCAAGUGUGCUUUAAGCUGCACACUCCCAGGACUCAUUAGAACUGUGUGCCCAGUGGUGCCCCUCAACACCUCGGAGCAAAUAGAGAAUGAUAUAAUUCUCUCUGAGAACACCUCUCUGUCUUAUCUGCAGCAUGUCUUAUCUAUUAUGAUUAGGGCAUUAAGCUCCCAUCGGCCUUAACAUUUCAUGAGAUUCUACCCCACUGCUUGCCGGGAUUAUGUCAAGGUGUCUUGUCCUGGAUACCGUUUUCACCCAAUAAUACAGCUUGUCUCUUCUCCUUAGGCAGAGUUGGGCCACCAGCGAGGCCCAGCAAUCCAGCUUAAGGUGAGUGAGCACUUGGAAGGCUGCCCUAAACCCUCUUCCUAUAAGGCCCG